AAGAUCAUACUUUUAGGGAUCAUUUCUAUAGUAUGCAUCGCCGGGAUGUCAGGUAAAACUGACCAGACCGUAAACCACGAUGACGAGUCAGAGCGUCCCCUUCUGAGCGUGAAGCGGGCAGGGGUUGUCUGCAGCACCGCGGACAAUGCCCCUUUGUCAUUGAUGACCGUUCCUCUCCUCCCUACGUGGGGAGCUGGAGGAAGGGGACGCAUUCUGAGUGGU